UACGUAGGGGGCUAGCGUUGUCCGGAAUCAUUGGGCGUAAAGAGCGCGUAGGCGGCCAGAUAAGUCCGGUGUGAAAGUCACAGGCUCAACCUGUGAAUGCCGCUGGAAACUGUCUGGCUAGAGUCCGGGAGGGGCGAGUGGAAUUCCUGGUGUAGCGGUGAAAUGCGCAGAUAUCUGGAGGAAUACCGGUGGCGAAGGCGGCAUCCUGGACCAUAACUGACGCUGAGGCGCGAAAGCUAGGGGAGCGAACGGG
rnacentral:rRNA from 1 species